ensembl:lncRNA
UGUCUGUGUUGGAGGUGUCUGUGUUGGAGGUGUCUGUGUUGGAGGUGUCUGUGUUGGAGGUGUCAGUGUUGGAGGUGUCUGUGUCGUGUAUGUCUGUGUUGGAGGUGUCUGUGUUGGAGGUGUCUGUGUUGGAGGUGUCUGUGUUGGAGGUGUCAGUGUUGGAGGUGUCUGUGUUGGAGGUGUCUGUGUUGGAGGUGUCAGUGUUGGAGGUGUCUGUGUGGUGUAUGUCUGUGUUGGAGGUGUCUGUGUUGGAGGUGUCAGUGUUAGAGGUGUCUGUGUUGGAGGUGUCUGUGUUGGAGGUGUCUGUGUUGGAGGUGUCAGUGUUGGAGGUGUCUGUGUGGUGUAUGUCUGUGUUGGAGGUGUCUGUGUGGUGUAUGUCUGUGUUGGAGGUGUCUGUGUCGUGUAUGUCUGUGUUGGAGGUGUCUGUGUUGGAGGUGUCUGUGUUGGAGGUGUCUGUGUUGGAGGUGUCAGUGUUGGAGGUGUCUGUGUGGUGUAUGUCUGUGUUGGAGGUGUCUGUGUGGGG